GCAGGCUAUUGGUGGAGAGGAAUGAAACACAAUUCAUGAGCUUUUUCUGAGAAAAAGAAUGAGAUUCAAGAGUCUGAGGGCUGUGAUGGAUCUGGAGGCAGCAGACUUACCACACCUUAGUCUUACCUGGGGUAGGGCCCAAAUAGCUGGGUUCUACUCCAUGCAGCAGAAAGCAAAGACAAGGAAGUUAUUGGAUUGGCAGCAACAAAUGAACACAUCUCUCAUUUCCAUCUCCCUCUUUUAUCAUCUCAGGAAGCAUCUGGAUUCUCCAAAACACCUGGCUUUCAGCUCUUCUAGAGUUCCAAGUCUCUUCUAGAGGAUGAUAACCUAAACUUUUUGCUUGCUCCAGUAACAAGUCCAGCUCCAGGUUUUUACAGCAUAUAACUCUAUUCCUGAUUCCUUUAUUGCUCUCUAAGCUUAUGAAAGUCUUAUGGAAUGGCUGGCCCAAUUAGGGAUAAUCACUAGGGACUAAAAUCUACACCGUGGCUCUGCUACAGUGAUGACACUCUCUGCACAGAGUAUUAGCUUGGGCCAGGGCAUUAGGGAAAGUGAGGGUUUCCCACAUGAUCCUUGUUGUUAGAGAAGGCAAAACCACUGACUGGGGGCCUAUGAUUUGUGUGAACAAGGUCAGUAUACUAGCAUUUUCAAACCAUUAUACAGAGCUCUGCUGUCUUGGACAGGAAGAGGGGUUCUGUGAAUGCACAAGCUUGGGAAAUGCUGGUCACUACCCUCCUUUUGUAGAUUUUUCACACCUUUCUGCACAUUAAGAAUUUGAGAGGACCUUUAAUAAAGAGGCUUAUUCAUUUUUG